UACGUAGGGGGCAAGCGUUGUCCGGAAUCAUUGGGCGUAAAGCGCGUGUAGGCGGCCAGAUAAGUCCGCUGUGAAAUCUCGAGGCUCAACUUCGAGCUGUCGGUGGAAACUGUCUGGCUAGAGUCCGGAAGAGGAGAAUGGAAUUCCUGGUGUAGCGGUGAAAUGCGCAGAUAUCAGGAAGAACACCCGUGGCGAAGGCGAUUCUCUGGGACGGUACUGACGCUGAGACGCGAAAGCGUGGGGAGCGAACAGG
rnacentral:rRNA from 1 species